rnacentral:rRNA from 1 species
ACGGGAGGCAGCAGUGGGGGAUAUUGCACAAUGGGGGAAACCCUGAUGCAGCAAUGCCGCGUGAGUGAUGACGGUCUUCGGAUUGUAAAGCUCUGUCUUUGGGGACGAUAAUGACGGUACCCAAGGAGGAAGCCACGGCUAACUACGUGCCAGCAGCCGCGGUAAUACGUAGGUGGCGAGCGUUGUCCGGAUUUACUGGGCGUAAAGGGAGCGUAGGCGGAUUCUUAAGUGGGAUGUGAAAUACCCAGGCUUAACCUGGGUGCUGCAUUCCAAACUGGGAAUCUAGAGUGCAGGAGGGGAGAGUGGAAUUCCUAGUGUAGCGGUGAAAUGCGUAGAGAUUAGGAAGAACACCAGUGGCGAAGGCGACUCUCUGGACUGUAACUGACGCUGAGGCUCGAAAGCGUGGGGAGCAAACAGGAUUAGAUACCCUGGUA